rnacentral:rRNA from 1 species
AUUGAACGCUGGCGGCAGGCUUAACACAUGCAAGUCGAACGAGUGGCGGACGGGUGAGUAAUGUCUGGGAAACUGCCUGAUGGAGGGGGAUAACUACUGGAAACUGUAGCUAAUACCGCAUACCAUCAGAUGUACCCAUAUGGGAUUAGCUUGUUGGUGGGGUAACGGCUCACCUAGGCGACGAUCCCUAGCUGGUCUGAGAGGAUGACCAGCCACACUGGGACUGAGACACGGUCCAGACUCCUACGGGAGGCAGCAGUGGGGAAUAUUGCACAAUGGGCGCAAGCCUGAUACAGCCAUGCCGCGUGUAUGAAGAAGGCCUUCGGGUUGUAAAGUACUUUCAGUGGGGAGGCGUUACCCGCAGAAGAAGCACCGGCUAACUCCGUGCCAGCAGCCGCGGUAAUUC